rnacentral:rRNA from 1 species
AUUGAACGCUGGCGGCAUGCCUUACACAUGCAAGUCGAACGGCAGCACGGGAGCAAUCCUGGUGGCGAGUGGCGAACGGGUGAGUAAUAUAUCGGAACGUGCCCAGUCGUGGGGAUAACGUAGCGAAAGCUACGCUAAUACCGCAUACGAUCUAUGGAUGAAAGCGGGGGAUCGCAAGACCUCGCGCGAUUGGAGCGGCCGAUAUCAGAUUAGGUAGUUGGUGAGGUAAAGGCUCACCAAGCCGACGAUCUGUAGCUGGUCUGAGAGGACGACCAGCCACACUGGGACUGAGACACGGCCCAGACUCCUACGGGAGGCAGGCAGUGGGGAAUUUUUGGGACAAUGGGCGCAAGCCUGAUCCAGCAAUGCCGCGUGCAGGAUGAAGGCCU